GCAAACUUGGUCAUUUAGAGGAAGUAAAAGUCGUAACAAGGUUUCCGUAGGUGAACCUGCGGAAGGAUCAUUAUCGUGGGGCUCCGGCCCUGUCGAGAUAGAACCCUUGCCUUUUUUGAGCACCCGUACCGUUUCCUCGGCAGGCUCGCCUGCCAGUAGGACCCCCCAACCAAACCCUUGUUUAUCAAUCUGUACCAGUCUGAUAUAAAAAACAAACAUCAAAACUUUCAACAACGGAUCUCUUGGUUCUGGCAUCGAUGAAGAACGCAGC
rnacentral:misc_RNA from 1 species